rnacentral:rRNA from 1 species
GCCCAGACUCCUACGGGAGGCAGCAGUGGGGAAUAUUGGGCAAUGGGCGAAAGCCUGACCCAGCAACGCCGCGUGAAGGAAGAAGGCUUUCGGGUUGUAAACUUCUUUUGACAGGGAAGAGCAGAAGACGGUACCUGUCGAAUAAGCCACGGCUAACUACGUGCCAGCAGCCGCGGUAAUACGUAGGGGGCAAGCGUUAUCCGGAUUCAUUGGGCGUAAAGCGCGCGCAGGCGGGCCGCUAAGCGGGACCUCUAAUCUUGGGGCUCAACCUCAAGCCGGGUCCCGAACUGGCAGCCUCGAGUGCGGUAGGGGUAAGCGGAAUUCCCGGUGUAGCGGUGGAAUGCGCAGAUAUCGGGAAGAACACCGAUGGCGAAGGCAGCUUACUGGGCCGACACUGACGCUGAGGCGCGAAAGCUAGGGGAGCGAACAGGAUUAGAUACCCGCGUAC